GUGAUCAGCACCUCACGACAGCUUUAGUUAUUUUUCUACAUCAUAUAAUGCUGUGAGAGUGUCAGCUCAUUGGCUAUAUUACAAGCUCCUUAACCAUGGAGGCUACAGCAAAGUACGACUAUGAAGCUGCAGCUGGCGAUGAACUCAGCUUCAAAAAGGGAGAGCGAUUGAAGGCAAGGAGCAUACACACACAUGCUGCACAACACACUGGCACCAAACACUGCUUCACUUUCCACUGUACCUAGUUCCUACUUUUUGUUUUCAACAACAUAGCAUACGUCCUUCAAAUUAUGAAUAGCUCUCAAUAGGAAAAGGCAUUCAAAUUACGCAAAUUACCGUUGUUAGUGCUGGCAGUAUUUUCAUGUAAAUCAUUAUCACCUGCAAGACUGGCUAUUCAGUACAUUCAUGCAGCCAGCGUGAGAGCAACAGUAUUUGCAUCAUUGUGUCCACUGUUCUCUGCUGCGCUUUUUUUGUUUUGUUUGUGCAGCAGGUUAUACAUGUGUUGUGAAACUGCAUCCUGCUGUUGUAAUACAAGUUCAUUUCCUAAUAUCACAGGACAGUCAUUGCAAGGUGAUCUUUAUUUCUUUUGGGGUUUUCUUGACACAACAGUCACAAAGUGUAAAAAAACAAAAUAGCAAAGGCGAGGAGAAACUACAAGUACAUAUUUAUGUUUUGACAGCAUAGUACCAGUUAAAGUAUAGUAACAAUAAUUAGUCUUCCUCUGAAGUUACAGUGAUGUGUAUGGACAUGAUUCCACCUGAAUCUGUAGUGCAAUCAGUCAACAGUUUAAUGAGACUUAUUAGGACAUAUGCAUAU